UACGGGGGGGGCAAGCGUUGUUCGGAAUUACUGGGCGUAAAGGGCUCGUAGGUGGCCAACUAAGUCAGACGUGAAAUCCCCAGGCUCAACUUGGGAACUGCGUCUGAUACUGGAUGGCUUGAAUUCGGGAGAGGGAUGCAGAAUUCCAGGUGUAGCGGUGAAAUGCGUAGAUAUCAGGAGGAACACCGGUGGCGAAGGCGGGUCUCUGGGCCGUAACUGACGCUGAGGAGCGAAAGCAUGGGGAGCGAACAGG
rnacentral:rRNA from 1 species